rnacentral:rRNA from 1 species
CCUACGGGCGGCUGCAGUGGGGAAUAUUGCACAAUGGAGGGAACUCUGAUGCAGCGACGCCGCGUGAGCGAUGAAGGCUUUCGGGUCGUAAAGCUCUGUCCUAGGGGACGAUAAUGACGGUACCCUAGGAGGAAGCCCCGGCUAACUACGUGCCAGCAGCCGCGGUAAUACGUAGGGGGCGAGCGUUGUCCGGAAUUAUUGGGCGUAAAGGGUACGUAGGCGGCCAUGUAAGUCAGAUGUGAAAGACAUAGGCUUAACUUAUGUAAGCAUUUGAAACUGCGUGGCUUGAGUUAAGGAGAGGAAAGUGGAAUUCCUAGUGUAGCGGUGAAAUGCGUAGAUAUUAGGAAGAAUAUCAGUGGCGAAGGCGACUUUCUGGACUUAUACUGACGCUGAGGUACGAAAGCGUGGGGAGCAAACAGGCUUAGAUACCCGAGUAGUC